GUGGGGAAUUUUGGACAAUGGGCGCAAGCCUGAUCCAGCAAUGCCGCGUGCAGGAAGAAGGCCUUCGGGUUGUAAACUGCUUUUGUACGGAACGAAACGGUCCUGGUUAAUACCUGGGGCUAAUGACGGUACCGUAAGAAUAAGCACCGGCUAACUACGUGCCAGCAGCCGCGGUAAUACGUAGGGUGCGAGCGUUAAUCGGAAUUACUGGGCGUAAAGCGUGCGCAGGCGGUGCUGUAAGACAGGCGUGAACUCCCCGGGCUCAACCUGGGAAUUGCGCUUGUGACUGCAGUGCUGGAGUACGGCAGAGGGGGAUGGAAUUCCGCGUGUAGCAGUGAAAUGCGUAGAUAUGCGGAGGAACACCGAUGGCGAAGGCAGUCCCCUGGGCCUGUACUGACGCUCAUGCACGAAAGCGUGGGGAGCAAACAGGAUUAGAAACCCUGGUAGUCC
rnacentral:rRNA from 1 species